GAAGAGGAAGAAAAAGAGAAAAAGAAAAAGAGGGAAAGACAAAAAGAAAGGAAAAAAGAAAAAGGAAAAAAGAAAAAGAAAAAAAGAAAAAGAAAAAGAAAAGGAAAAAAAGAAAAAGAAAAAGAAAAAGAAAAAGAAAAAGAAAAAGAAAAAGAAAAAGAAAAAGAAAAAGAAAAAGAAAAAGAAAAAGAAAAAAGAAAAAGAAAAAGAAAAGGAAAAAAAGAAAAAGAAAAAGAAAAAGAAAAAGAAAAAAAGAAAAAAUUGGCAUUAAAAGAAGUGAUUAGAAGAGCUGAGCAUCUGGGCACUGAGAUGAUAGUGUGGUUUUUGUUUUUUCUUUUCUGUGACUCAUUUCAGAAAUGGAUGAAAUUUCAAAGAGAUUUUGAAAAUUUUAAGACAGCCUGCAUACCCUGGGAAAUGAAAAUUAAGGAGAUUGAAAGUCACUUUGGCUCAUCAGUAGCAUCUUAUUUCAUAUUCUUGCGUUGGAUGUAUGGAAUAAACAUGAUUCUCUUUGGACUGACCUUUGGUCUUGUAAUGGUGCCUGAGGCUUUGAUGGGUAAGCCAUAUGGCUCUUUGCCUAGAAAAACUGUCCCAAGAGCUGAAGAAGCAACUGCUAUGAAUUUUGCUACUCUCUGGGAUUUUAGUGGCUUUGCACAGUAUUCUGUACUCUUUUAUGGUUAUUACAAUAACCAGAGGACAAUUGGGUGGCUCAAGUUCAGGAUGCCUCUUUCAUAUUUCCUUGUUGGAGUUGGGUCUAUUGGCUAUAGCUUUAUGAUUGUCACUCGAACAAUGGCAAAGAAUGCAAAUGACGAUGGUGGUGGGGAUGACACUAGUUUUAACUUCAGCUGGAAAAUGUUCACAAGCUGGGACUACUUGAUUGGCAAUCCUGAGACAGCAGAUAAUAAGUUUGCCUCCAUCACAACAAGCUUUAAGGAAGCAAUCGUGGAGGAGCAGGAGAGCCGAAAAGAAGAAAAUAUUCAUUUGACUCGAUUCCUGAGGGUACUUGCUAACUUCUUAGCCCUAUGCACACUUGCUGGAAGUGGCUACCUCAUCUUUUUUGUUGUCAGAAGAUCCCAGCAAUUUGCCUUGGAAGGUCUGGAGAACUACGGGUGGUGGGAAAGAAAUGAAGUGAACACAGUUAUGUCACUUUUGGGAAUGUUCUGUCCGACUUUAUUUGAUGUAAUCAGUUCUCUGGAAAAUUACCACCCUCGAAUAGCUCUGAGAUGGCAGCUGGGAAGAAUCUUUGCUCUUUUUCUUGGCAAUCUCUACACUUUCAUUAUCGCCCUAAUGGAUGAGAUCAACCUCAAGUUGGAAGAAGAAAAGAUAGUCAAAUAUAACAUGACAAUAUGGGAAGCCAGUCUGUACAAUGGCACUAUUCCAGAGAAUUCAACUGCUCCUCCAAUACAGGUGGACCCUGCUGAUGUCCCCAGAGGGCCAUGUUGGGAAACAAUGGUGGGACAGGAAUUUGUGCGCCUGACAGUCUCUGACAUGAUGACAACAUACAUCACAAUUUUAAUUGGUGAUUUUUUGAGAGCCGUCUUUGUCAGGUUUUUCAAUUACUGCUGGUGCUGGGACUUGGAGUAUGGAUUUCCAUCAUAUUCUGAGUUUGAUAUAAGUGGAAAUGUGCUGGGACUGAUCUUUAACCAAGGCAUGAUCUGGAUGGGAUCUUUUUAUGCUCCAUGUCUCCCAGCAAUCAAUGUGUUCCGCCUCCACACAUCGAUGUACCUGCAGUGCUGGGCAGUGAUGUGCUGCAAUGUCCCCCAAGAACGGGUCUUCAAGGCUUCCAGAUCCAAUAACUUCUACAUGGCCAUGCUGCUUUUCAUCCUUUUCCUCUCCACACUGCCUGCUGUGUACACCAUUGUCUCCAUCCCUCCAUCUUUUGACUGUGGUCCUUUCAGUGGGAAGACUAGAAUGUAUGAAGUCAUAUCAGAAACUCUGGAGCACGACUUCCCUUCCUGGUUUGGGAAGGUAUUUGGUUAUGCCUCUAACCCUGGACUUAUCCUACCUUUUAUAUUGCUUAUGGUCCUGAGUCUUUAUUAUCUCAACGCGACAUCCAAAUCCUACAAGGAAGCUAACUUGGAACUUAAAAAGAAGUUACAAAGUGUAAGAAUAGAGACUUAUUGA
ensembl:lncRNA